AAAGGUCCCGUCUUGCGAGCUUUGCUUCUGGCAUUCCUUCGUGUAGCUCCAGGAACUUUUACCAAAGUUCCUUUGCUAAUUCGUAGACGCCAAUCCUGCUGAUUUCUUGAGGUGGUAACACACUUAGCAAGUAGAAUUUGGCUCGUCCAUUCGCCACAAAAUCCGCUUGCUCUUUCUUUGACCAAAAGUGCUCUUCUUUUCUUUGUCUUUUUGAUCUUUUGGAGCUAUAAAAUCGUAUUUGAUUAUUAAUAAAACUUCAAAGUAAUAAAAAAUAGCUCCAUUCGCUAUAGGGCGAACUCCCCCUCGAACUUCGGCUGAGUAGAUACUCGAUCCAACCAUCAUCUUGUUACUUCAAUCGGCAGUUAGUCCUUUUGAGGCGGUUGGGCUUUGAUAUAAAUUGUUGGUGCAGUAGAGGUCGGCAAGAGGGAGGUGAAUUGCCUACAAAAAAUUAAACAAGUCCUUUCCUGAUCUUUGGAUUUGAUUAGUUAUGCACAAUUAAUUGAACAAAAUAAGAAUGCAUAAAAUUAACAACUUCUAAGAGAAUAGUAAGAAGGCUAGAUUUACUUAGUUACAACCUAUGUGGUUGUUAAUCCAAGGCAUUGAAGAAGCUCCACUAGAAAUCUCCUUUGCUGAAGGCGGAGUAGUCUCUUAUAGACGUUAACAACUUAGAAAAAGACUAGGAAGUGAUUACAGAAGUUAUAGUUGAGUUGUUUUUUAAUUCCUAACUCUAGGAGUCCUUUUUAUAGCCCCUAGAAAAAUCUAUCCGUUACUUGGAGGUGCCUCCAAGUAGGUCCAAGGUGCCUUCAAUAAGACAAGUUUUAUCUGCCGAAGAUAAAAUUUUAUCUUCGGCUAACAGGAAUUGAAGGCACCUUCAACAGGCUUUAAGGCGCCUUUCAUGAGGCAUUGAGGCCGCCUUCAAGCUCGUUGAAGGCACCUUCUACAAGGAAGAUCAGCCUCCAGUUGGUCUUCUUCGUGUGGGUAAUGCUUCGGUUAUCUGGAGUUGAGCUCACUUGAACCCAACUCCGACCUUCUCCUUGAGCAGGUUUCUUCCUCGGCUUCUUGUCCCUCGGAAGCACCGCACGUGUCCUUCUCAUCCGUCGGUAUACUUUUUCGCAGCUUUUCGUCCCUCUGAUGUACCGAGCCCGUCAACUCGCUUCCCGUACCAUCCUUCUCGUCCGCCGCAUCUUCCGCUCGACUUCUUGUGCUCCUAAGUUCUUGCACACUUAGACACAAGACAUCAAACACAAUAGGACUUAAUUUUACUUGGUUGAUCGCAUCAAAACUACCACGGGAUAUUUACGUGCACAUCUCUAGAAACUUUUAGGGAGGUACCUAUAGUUGAUUUUAUUGAAUGUGACUCAUAUUUGGAUAUAAGUUUAGUUAAGAUGGAUAUUAGUUUAGCUCUUCCUUACCCCACAUGCAUGGGAGAGGUGUGUUUUGUCCUUGACCUUGCAGGUUUCUACAGGCCCUUGACUGGAUACUUCUACUGAACUGUCUCCAAUCGCCAGGAAGUAAUGAGAAAAUGGUAGAGGAAGUGACAUUCACUCUAGCUCGGAAUAUUCUACUCCCAGUUGGAUCCUACAUCUGAACCGUCUUCAAUCGCUGGAGAGAACUUUCGAGGAGGUGAUGAUGAGGGAGCUAUACUUGACGAUAUUAAUCACACGAAAAAGUCACUCACCUCUCUUCAGACCAUUUCACCCUUAGUGUGGCUUUUAAAGUUGAAUCGUCAUCAAUCGCCGAGGAGGAUCUUCAUUCGGACCAACCCAUUGCCAGCGUGGCUUCUACUUUUGAAUCGUCUUAAACCGUUAGGAAAUAAGGGGAGUCUGUUCCUUUCUUUUGUUUUUACUUCAUACUUUUCUUUAUUUUUAUACUUGAGUGUUAGUUUGCAUUUCGUACUUUACUUUUAUACUUUAUAUUUUAUUUGGUCUAUAUUUCAUUUGGUUUCAAUCAAACAUAUCCUUGUGGGUUUGCUAGUAAUACUUUGAGAAUUGUAAAAGUCUUUAAAUUGACUGUCAAGUUUUAGGUCAUUUGACAUGAUUGAAUGCUUUACUCGUAAAUUAUUGGCUAGUGUGGUGAUGGAAUCUAUUUUGAUCAAUUGAGUUUGAUUGCUAAAAAUUACCUAAAGAGGACUACUACAUGCCUACUUCUAAUUAACCUUUUGUGUAAUAUGCACUCAUGACAAUUGAAUUCUAGAACUUGCUUUGUUCUUUUUGAAAUCACAAUAACAUAUGCAUACAUGGACACGAUGCAGGAUAAUCCUAUUCCCAUUUUUUGAUUUCUUCUCCUUUCGAAUUCUAGUUGAAUAAAUCACCCAAAGCAAAAUUUUCUUUUUCAACCUUGCUUUACCUUAAUUCCAUUGAGAGUUUUGGUUGAUAUUCCUGAUGAGUUAGGAUCUCUAAAAUUAAAAGUGUAGGGUAGGUGUUAUGUGUUGAAGUUUAUGGAGGUGGAAAUCGAUUAGAAGUUCGAUUGGUGAAUUUUGGUUUGAAUGUACCAAAUACAAUUCGAAAAUUGAAGAGGCACAACUUGCUUGAGUUGUUUGAAGCAAACAUCAUUAGUUGGUUUGAAUGAGAUUUUACUCUUGUAUGAUUUCUGGAAGUUUAAGAGGAUGAGUUGAAAAAUAUAAAUAAAAAUAAAAAAAAAAACUUUCUGCAGUAACCAAUUCAAUAAGUUGUUCCAGCUCACGAGGAAAAACAAGGAGACAAGGAGUUUUGUAUCAACUUGGAACUGAUUGGUGCGAAUUUUCUUAUAAGUUUCCUGGACAGUAACUGAUCCAAUUCAAGUGCCUGACUUGCGAGAUACUCUGAAAUUCCUGAUGAACAGACAUUGAUGAACAGAAAUCUCAGCUCAAGAAAUGUAGUUGUUGAUGAGGAAGUUCUGAAAUGUUAGAUUGAGUGCCUAACAUCUGGGAUGAUUUAAUCUC